UACGAGGGGUGCAAGCGUUGCUCGGAAUGAUUGGGCGUAAAGGGUAGGUAGGUGGUCUCGUUUGGCUGGGGUGAAAUCCUUGAGCUUAACUCAAGAAGUGCCCCAGAAACGGCGAGACUUGAGUACUGGAGAGGGUCGUGGAAUUCCCGGUGUAGCGGUGAAAUGCGUAGAGAUCGGGAGGAACACCAGAGGCGAAGGCGGCGACCUGGACAGUAACUGACACUCAACUACGAAAGCGUGGGGAGCAAACAGG
rnacentral:rRNA from 1 species